GGCUCCAUAGCUCAGUUGGUUAGAGCGGCGUGCUAAUAACGCGAAGGUCGGGAGUUCGAUCCUCUCUGCAGCCA
rfam:Aedes albopictus isolate Foshan contig18561, whole genome shotgun sequence.